rnacentral:rRNA from 1 species
CAAUAGCGUAUAUUAAAGUUGUUGCAGUUAAAAAGCUCGUAGUUGGAUCUCUGUCGGCACUUAAGGUCCAUUUUUGGUACAUUUAAGUGCUGUCAUCCUUGUGUAGAACUUGUGUGGCAUUAGGUUGUCGUGCAGGGGAUGCUCAUCCUUUACUGUGAAAAAAUCAGCGCGUCCAAAGCAAGCUUAUGCUGUUGAAUGUAUUAGCAUGGAAUAAUGAGAUAGGACCUUGAUACUAUUUUGUUGGUUUGUGCAUUAAGGUAAUGGUUAAUAGGGACAGUUGGGGGUAUUCGUAUUCCAUUGUCAGAGGUGAAAUUCUUGGAUUUUUGGAAGACGAACUACUGCGAAAGCAGUUACCAAGGAUGUUUUCAUUAA